UACGUAGGCAGCGAGCGUUGUUCGGAGUUACUGGGCGUAAAGGGUGCGUAGGCGGUUGUUUAAGUUUGGUGUGAAAUCUCCUGGCUCAACUGGGAGAGGGCCGUCCAGACGGGGUCACUUGAGGGGCGGAGAGGGGCGUGGAAUUCCGGGUGGAGCGGUGAAAUGCGUAGAGAUCCGGAGGAACACCGACGGCGAAGGCAGCGCCCUGGCCGCCAUCUGACGCUCAGGCACGAAAGCUGGGGGAGCGAACAGG
rnacentral:rRNA from 1 species